rnacentral:rRNA from 1 species
AUUCUAAGGCCAACGGGAGAAGGGUUGUUAAGGAACUCGGCAAAUUGACCCCGUAACUUCGGGAGAAGGGGUGCUCCAGAGAUGGAGCCGCAGAGAAUCGGCCCAAGCAACUGUUUACCAAAAACACAGGUUUGUGCUAAAUCGAAAGAUGACGUAUACGAGCUGACGCCUGCCCGGUGCUGGAAGGUUAAGAGGAGAUGUGCAAGCAUUGAAUCGAAGCCCCAGUGAACGGCGGCCGUAACUAUAACGGUCCUAAGGUAGCGAAAUUCCUUGUCAGGUAAGUUCUGACCCGCAUGAAAGGCGUAAUGAUUUGGGCACUGUCUCAACAGCCCGCCCGGCGAAAUUGUAGUACCGGUGAAGAUGCCGGUUACCCGCGACAAGACGGAAAGACCCCAUGGAGCUUUACUGUAGCCUAAUAUUGGGUUUCGAUGUUGCAUGCACAGGAUAGAUGGGACACUGGGAAACAAUCGCUUUGGCGGUUGCGGAGUGGCCGUUGGGAUACCAUCCUUGCGAUAUUGGAAUUCUAACCUGCGGCUCUGAAUCGAGUCGGGGGACAUUGUUAGGUGGGCAGUUUGACUGGGGCGGUCGCCUCCUAAAAAGUAACGGAGGCGUUCAAAGGUUCGCUCAGCUUGAACGGAAAUCAAGCAAAAGAGUGCAAACGCAGAAGCGAGCCUAACUGCGAGACUGACGGGUCGAGCAGUAACGAAAGUUGGAGUUAGUGAUCCGGUGGUAUGUGAGUGGAAAUGCCAUCGCUCAACGGAUAAAAGUUACCCUGGGGAUAACAGGCUGAUCUCCCCCAAGAGUCCACAUCGACGGGGAGGUUUGGCACCUCGAUGUCGGCUCAUCGCAUCCUGGGGCUGUAUUCGGUCCCAAGGGUUUGGCUGUUCGCCAAUUAAAGCGGUACGCGAGCUGGGUUCAGAACGUCGUGAGACAGUUCGGUCCCUAUCUGUCGUGGGCGCAGGAUAUUUGAUGGGAGCUGUCCCUAGUACGAGAGGACCGGGACGGACGUACCUCUGGCGCACCAGUUGUUCCGCCAGGAGCAUAGCUGGGCAACUACGUACGGAUCGGAUAAACGCUGAAAGCAUCUAAGCGUGAAGCCGACCCAAAGAUAAGAUAUCCCACUGAUUUGAUCAGGUAAGACCCCUUGAAGACUACAAGGUCGAUAGGCACGAUGUGUAAGUGGAGCGAUCCAUUCAGCAAGCGUGUACUAAUAGGUCGAGGGCUUGACCAC